UCAAGAAAUAAUAAACACUUAAUUACCUAAGACCACAGUCCAAAAUUUAAAGAUCGUGGCGGUGCCUUAUAACAUCAGGGGAACCUGUCCCUUAAUUUGAUAAUCCACACAAAACCCUUCCAAAUCUUACCAAACCUGUAUACUGCUGUCGCCAGCAAACUCUAAGUUUGCAUUUAACAAUACGUCAAGUCAAAGUGCAGUCUAUGAUCUGGUGUGAGAUGGGUUACAACCUCAAAAUAGACACCAAACAAGAAUUCAUACGGGUGGACUUGAUAGUAAUGUAUUAAAACAUAAACAUAUCUCUAAAGCAUGUACACAUCGCCCGUCGCUCCCACCAAAUUG
rnacentral:rRNA from 1 species